rnacentral:rRNA from 1 species
AUACGUAGGGGGCAAGCGUUAAUCGGAAUUAUUGGGCGUAAAGCGUGCGCAGGCGGUUUUUUAAGACAGAUGUGAAAUCCCCGGGCUAAACCGGGGAACUGCCUUUGUGACUCACAGGCUAGCGUACGGGAGAGGGGGGUGGGAUUCCGCGUGUAGCAGUGAAAUGAGUAGAUAUACGGAGUAACAUCGAUGGCGAAGGCAUUUCCGUGGGCAUGUUCUGACUCUCAUGCACGAAAGCGUGGGGAGCAAACAGGUUUAGAUACCCUGGUAGUCCACGGCCUAAACGAUGUCAACUGGUUGUUGGGUCUUCAUUGACUCAGUAACGAAGCUAACGCGUUAAGUUGACCGCCUGGGGAGUACGGCCGCAAGGUUGAAACUCAAAGGAAUUGACGGGG